rnacentral:tRNA from 1 species
GCCUGGGUGGCUCAGUCGGUUGAGCGUCCGACUUCAGCUCAGGUCACGAUCUCGCAGUCCGUGGGUUUGAGCCCCGCGUCAGGCU